rnacentral:lncRNA from 1 species
UGCCCCUUUCCUUGGGAUCUGUCCCUCAGCCUCCACUUUCCUCCUGCAGCUCAGAGAAUCUGCCCUGCACCCCCAGAACCCCCUGUGGUCACUGUCCGGGUCGCAUGCCUGCCACAUGCCUAGUAUGUGUCCAGCAAUGAAUGAGUCCUCUCCCUCCUACCCACUAGGAAUCUGCACUCCGAAUACCAGCUCCCUGACCUCUCCCUUCCGGGGGCGCUCCUGGGAUAGGGUGAGGGGUGCUGGGUGCCAGGGCCACAGCCUGGGGAGAGGCCUGGGCUGGGAGCCCCUGUCAUAGCUGGGUCUGAGGUUACUCACAGGCCACUCAUGGCCUCUCCCGCACAGCUGGUGACCCUGACUCGUGGGCGUGAGCCAGAAGCUAAUGAGGCUAAUUGGGAAGGUGGUGGCCCUGCAGACCAUUAGCUGGCUCCCUGGCCUGGAUGAGGGGACAGGAAGCAGCCAGCCCUGGUCUGAGGGUGGUGAAGGAGGGUCAGGCAGAAGGCAGACUUCAGGGUCCCCUAGGAUGAAAGGCAGGACUGGCCGACCAGAGUCCUGAGUUCAGCUGGGAGGGAGGCCGGUCCUCCUCCAUCAUGUUCCCCUCCUCCUGCUUUGGUCCUGGCCCCACCCCAGCCAAUUAAUUGCUCACUGGUAUUGCCCAGAGUAUCAGUAUCGGAGGGAGAGGCCUGGGACCAAGUCAAGCUGCCUCUCCUCCUCCUCCCUGCACCCCUCACCCAGACUCUCACCUCCAUACCUCCCCACAAAGACUGCCUAUGCCCCAGCCCUGAUUGCCUUCUCUCUCUCUCUCUCUCUCUCUCUCUCUCUCUCUCUCUCUCUCUCUCUCCUGUCCUGCCUUUCCCUCCAGCCCAGUGCUGCCCCUAGGACUUUCUUUGAUGAUAGGAAUGUUCUGUUCUGUAUCUGUGCUGCCAAAUACUACUAAGCAUUUGAAAUGGGGCUAAUAUGGCCAGCCUAAGGAACUGAAUUUUUCUAUUAUACUUAAUUUUAAUUUAUUUUUUAAAUAUUUUAUUUAUUUAUUCAUGAAAGACACAGAGAGAGGCAGAGACACAAGCAUAGAGGGAAGCAGGCUCCCUGCAGGGAGCCUGAUGUGGGACACGAUGGGAACCGUGGAAUCAUGCCCCUGACAGAAGGCAGGCACUUAACCCUGAGCCACUCAGGCGUCCCCUUAAUUUUAAUUUAAAUGUGAACAGACAUGUGCAGCUAGUGGCUACCAUGUGCAGCUAGUCUAGCCCUUGAUUUUACCAGCAUUCAAAAUGGGAUUGGGAAGGAAGAGGGGCCAGGAGCUAGGGAGACAGGAGGUAACAGGACAGACUCCCCGAAGAGGGUUGAGGCAGUGGGAGAAAAACAAAACCACUGGCUUAGGACCAGGAUGACCUGGGUAGGAGUCUCAGUUAACUUGCCUCCGGCAAGUCUCCCAACCUUUCUGAACGUCAGUGUCCUCCUCUGUAAAAUGGAGAUACUUUGAGUCAAGCCUACCUGACAGGGGGUUUGCGAGGAUCAAAUGGGAAAUGAGGGAUCCCUGGGUGGCGCAGCGGUUUGGCGCCUGCCUUUGGCCCAGGGCGUGAUCCUGGAGACCCGGGAUCGAAUCCCACAUCGGGCUCCCGGUGCAUGGAGCCUGCUUCUCCCUCUGCCUAUGUCUCUGCCUCUCUCUCUCUCUCUCUGUGACUAACAUAAAUAAAUUAAAAAAAAAAAA